rnacentral:tRNA from 1 species
AGGGGUAUAGCUCAGUUGGUAGAGCGACGGUCUCCAAAACCGUAGGUCGCGGGUUCGACCCCUGCUGCCCCUGCCA